UACGAAGGGGGCUAGCGUUGUUCGGAAUCACUGGGCGUAAAGCGCACGUAGGCGGCUUUUUAAGUCAGGGGUGAAAUCCUGGAGCUCAACUCCAGAACUGCCUUUGAUACUGAGAAGCUUGAGUCCGGGAGAGGUGAGUGGAACUGCGAGUGUAGAGGUGAAAUUCGUAGAUAUUCGCAAGAACACCAGUGGCGAAGGCGCUGAC
rnacentral:rRNA from 1 species